CACGGAGUUAGCCGGUGCUUAUUCGUAUAGUACCUUCAGCUACCCUCACGAGGGUAGGUUUAUCCCUAUACAAAAGAAGUUUACAACCCAUAGGGCCGUCGUCCUUCACGCGGGAUGGCUGGAUCAGGCUCUCACCCAUUGUCCAAUAUUCCUCACUGCUGCCUCCCGUAGGAGUCUGGUCCGUGUCUCAGUACCAGUGUGGGGGAUCACCCUCUCAGGCCCCCUAAAGAUCGUAGACUUGGUGAGCCGUUACCUCACCAACUAUCUAAUCUUGCGCGUGCCCAUCUCUAUCCACCGGAGUUUUCAAUACCGAAUGAUGCCAUUCAGUAUAUUAUGGGGUAUUAAUCUUCCUUUCGAAAGGCUAUCCCCCAGAUAAAGGCAGGUUGCACACGUGUUCCGCACCCGUACGCCGCUCUCAAGAUCCCGAAAGAUCUCUACCGCUCGGCUUGCAUGUGUUAGGCCUCCCGCUAGCGUUCAUCCUGAGCCAGGAUCAAACUC
rnacentral:rRNA from 1 species